UUUAACAUUUUGUGCUUCUUCAUUGGUCAGCGACUUGGACAGCGACAGCGGAGAUAUGGCGUGAUUGGAAACCAUACAUCAGUGCUGGCCAAUAAAAACGCUCAAGGGAUUUUGAAUGACGGGAGCCAGAAGCCAAUUUAGCUGUUCAAAAUCGUCGGCGAGAGUCUCAGAAUAAUGAAAAGCGCAGAAAUAAAAAAAAUGUUUUUGUAAAUAAUUUUUUUGUCAACCACUGUUGAAAAAAGAUCUGUCCCAGUGUUUACAAGCGCGCUAUAAUUUGGCUGAAAUUGAAAAUGGUCCAAGUAACCUAGUGCGGGGUAUAGAAAAAGCACUACGAGUUCGUUAAAAAUGUUCGAGAUGCUGAGUAUUUAUUUAUCGGAAUCCCAGUACUGUAGACAGAAAGACGAGAAAGUUAGCCUAAAAGACACUACGCCACUCGUUCUCACCUACAUUAUUUAACACUAGACUAGCAGGUAAACCUAAACAGCCUAUCUAAUCUGGAUUCGAUCGUGUUGUAUAGCAAUGGACAAAAUAAGUCAACAGAACCCUUUUAGGCUUGUACAAGGUUUACCAAGCUGCGCCUACACACAGCCGUUCUUGCACAUACAGCUCCAGGUGCGGGCGCGCCAAGCCAAACACAGGAACACAGUAGCUGGCAUGUCUUACCAUAGCUGACAGGCAGUGUGUUACACCGUCUUCACUUGUAAUGACAGAAAAGGGAACAGCUGGUACCAGAGGUUGUGACAAGAGACAAACGCACGAUGGGCAGUACAGUCGAAUCGAGUCGAAGCCAUCGUCAGUGACGACACUUUUAAACUGAAAAUUGUGAUUGUUAACGGCGCUGCAAAAACAAGACUUUGUUGGUGGUUUGAAAUUGUGGUCGCUAUUGGGUCUGGUCGAUUACGAAAGCGGUCGCCCAGAGAGUUUCGACUGUUAUUUAUUGACCUCCGACCUUGAAAACAGCAUAAAAACUUUCAGUGCCCAAAAACACAGUGAAAAAAACUAGACUUAGCGGUUAUGCUUUCUCCUCACGGCAUUUGGCAGGGGGUGGGUGGGGGGUCUCUAGGGAGAUCGGUCUUGUAUACAAAGGUUACGGCAAUAUCUUAUAUUACGUCAAUAU